rnacentral:rRNA from 1 species
CCUACGGGGGGGSWGCAGUAGGGAAUCUUCCGCAAUGGACGAAAGUCUGACGGAGCAACGCCGCGUGAGUGAUGAAGGUUUUCGGAUCGUAAAACUCUGUUGUUAGGGAAGAACAAGUACAAGAGUAACUGCUUGUACCUUGACGGUACCUAACCAGAAAGCCACGGCUAACUACGUGCCAGCAGCCGCGGUAAUACGUAGGUGGCAAGCGUUGUCCGGAAUUAUUGGGCGUAAAGCGCGCGCAGGCGGUCCUUUAAGUCUGAUGUGAAAGCCCACGGCUCAACCGUGGAGGGUCAUUGGAAACUGGGGGACUUGAGUGCAGAAGAGAAGAGUGGAAUUCCACGUGUAGCGGUGAAAUGCGUAGAGAUGUGGAGGAACACCAGUGGCGAAGGCGACUCUUUGGUCUGUAACUGACGCUGAGGCGCGAAAGCGUGGGGAGCAAACAGGAUUAGAUACCCCUGGUAGUCA